GGGCCUAUAGCUCAGCUGGCAGAGCGCUGCAUUCGCAUUGCAGAGGUCGCCGGUUCGAUUCCGGCUAGGUCCA
rnacentral:tRNA from 1 species